UACGUAGGCAGCGAGCGUUGUUCGGAGUUACUGGGCGUAAAGGGUGUGUAGGCGGUUGUUUAAGUUUGGUGUGAAAUCUCCCGGCUCAACUGGGAGGGUGCGCCGAAUACUGAAUGACUUCGAGUGCGGGAGAGGAGAGUGGAAUUCCUGGUGUAGCGGUGAAAUGCGUAGAUAUCAGGAGGAAUACCUAUGGCGAAAGCAGGUAUCUGGGCCAUCACUGACGCUGAGCUGCGAAAGCUAGGGGAGCAAACAGG
rnacentral:rRNA from 1 species